rnacentral:rRNA from 1 species
AGUGAGAAAUGUCGGCGAGCGGCGGACGGCUGAGUAACGCGUAGGAACAUACCCCAAAGUGAGGGAUAACUGCCCGAAAGGGUGGCUAAUACCGCAUGUGGUCUUCGGAUUAAAGCUUUAUGCGCUUUGGGAAUGGCCUGCGUUCGAUUAGCUAGUUGGUGAGGUAAUAGCUCACCAAGGCGAUGAUCGAUAGCUGGUCUGAGAGGAUGAUCAGCCAGACUGGAACUGAGACACGGUCCAGACUCC